UACGGAGGGUGCGAGCGUUGUCCGGAAUCACUGGGCGUAAAGGGCGCGUAGGCGGCUGGGGAAGUCGGCGGUGAAAGCCCGGAGCUCAACUCCGGGUCGGCCGUCGAGACUCCUCGGCUCGAGCUCACUAGAGGCAGAUGGAAUUCCGGGUGUAGCGGUGGAAUGCGUAGAGAUCCGGAAGAACACCGGUGGCGAAGGCGGUCUGCUGGGGUGACACUGACGCUGAUGCGCGAAAGCUAGGGGAGCAAACGGG
rnacentral:rRNA from 1 species